CAAGCUUGCAGAAUUGGCGUC
rnacentral:siRNA from 1 species